rnacentral:lncRNA from 1 species
CGUCGAGUUCCUUCCCAGUCAUUGGUAAAUGUCUGGUCGAGUAUCUUUUCUUUGGUGUCAGUAAACAUCAUUGUUCGAUGUCAGUAAAUGUCGAUUUCCUUCCCAGUCAUUGGUAAAUGUCUGGUCGAGUAUCUUUUCUUUGGUGUCAGUAAAUAUCAUUGUUCGAUGUCAGUAAACGUCGAGUUCCUUCCCAGUCAUUGGUAAAUGUUUGGUCGAAUAUCCUCUGAUAUGUCGCCAUCAGAGUGGUGGUUG